AUUGAACGCUGGCGGCAUGCCUUACACAUGCAAGUCGAACGGCAGCACGGGGGCAACCCUGGUGGCGAGUGGCGAACGGGUGAGUAAUACAUCGGAAUGUACCCAGUAGUGGGGGAUAACUAGUCGAAAGAUUAGCUAAUACCGCAUACGCACUAUGGUGGAAAGCGGGGGAUCGCAAGACCUCGCGCUAUUGGAGCAGCCGAUGUCCGAUUAGGUAGUUGGUGGGGUAAAAGCCUACCAAGCCUGCGAUCGGUAACUGGUCUGAGAGGACGACCAGUCACACUGGGACUGAGACACGGCCCAGACUCCUACGGGAGGCAGCAGUGGGGAAUUUUGGACAAUGGGGGAAACCCUGAUCCAGCAAUGCCGCGUGUGUGACGAAGGCCUCGGUUGUAAGCACUUUGUGGACGAACGACGCUUCUAAUACAGAGUGC
rnacentral:rRNA from 1 species